UUUGCAAUUGGAUUGAGAACAACGUACAAACCUUAUCGAUAAACAAUUGGAGGGCAAGUCUGGUGCCAGCAGCCGCGGUAAUUCCAGCUCCAAUAGCGUAUAUUAACGUUGUUGCAGUUAAAAAGCUCGUAGUUGAAAUGAAGGGUAGUUGUGUAAUGAAUACAUUCGUGUAUUUUGUUAUUCAACUACCCUCCUUCUAAAUUCGAUAUAUGAGUAUUAAUUUACUUGUAUAUGGUUUUAGACGUUUACUGUGAGAAAAUUAGAGUGUUCAAAGCAGGCAUUUGCUUGAAUAUAUUAGCAUGGAAUAAUCAUGUAUGAUUUUCAUGAUGUAUUUGAUUGGUUUGGUUCAUGAGAAUAAGAUUAAAAGGGACAGUUGGGGGUAUUCAUAUUCAAUAGUCAGAGGUGAAAUUCUCGGAUUUAUGGAAGAUGAACAAGUGC
rnacentral:rRNA from 1 species